UACGGAGGGUGCAAGCGUUAUCCGGAUUUACUGGGUUUAAAGGGUGCGUAGGUGGGUGAAUAAGUCAGCGGUGAAAUCUCCGGGCUUAACUCGGAAACUGCCAUUGAUACUAUUCGUCUUGAAUAUCCUGGAGGUGAGCGGAAUAUGUCAUGUAGCGGUGAAAUGCUUAGAUAUGACAUAGAACACCUAUUGCGAAGGCAGCUCACUGCGGGAUUAUUGACACUGAGGCGCGAAAGCGUGGGGAUCAAACAGG
rnacentral:rRNA from 1 species